rnacentral:rRNA from 1 species
CUACGGGGUGCUGCAGUGAGGAAUAUUGCACAAUGGAGGAAACUCUGAUGCAGCAACGCCGCGUGGAGGAUGACGCAUUUCGGUGUGUAAACUCCUUUUAUAUGUCAAGAAAAUGACGGUAGCAUAUGAAUAAGCACCGGCUAACUCCGUGCCAGCAGCCGCGGUAAUACGGAGGGUGCAAGCGUUACUCGGAAUCACUGGGCGUAAAGGACGCAUAGGCGGGAUAUCAAGUAGGUGUGAAAUCCUACAGCUUAACUGUAGAACUGCACUUGAAACUGGUAACCUAGAGUAUGGGAGGGGGAGAUGGAAUUAGUGGUGUAGGGGUAAAAUCCGUAGAUAUCACUAGGAAUACCUAAAGCGAAGGCGAUCUCCUGGAACAUAACUGACGCUAAGGCGUGAAAGCGUGGGGAGCAAACAGGAUUAGAUACCCUCGUAGUC